AGUGAACGCUGGCGGCGUGCCUAAUACAUGCAAGUCGAACGGAGUGGCGCACGGGUGAGUAAUGUAUAGCUAAUCUGCCCUACACUAGAGGACAACAGUUGGAAACGACUGCUAAUACUCUAUAGUGUAGGAUGAGGCUAUAUGGUAUCAGCUAGUUGGUGAGGUAAUGGCUCACCAAGGAUAUGACGGAUCACUGGUCUGGGAGGAUGAGCAGUCACCCUGGAAGUGAGACACGGUCCAGACUCCUACGGGAGGCAGCAGUAGGGAAUAUUGCUCAAUGGGGGAAACCCUGAAGCAGCAUCGCCGCGUGGAGGAUGACACUUUUCGGAGCGUAAACUCCUUUUGUUAGGGAAGCGGUACCUAACGAAUAAGCACCGGCUAACUCCGUGCCAGCAGCCGCGGUAAUUC
rnacentral:rRNA from 1 species